AGUGAACGCUGGCGGCGUGCCUAAUACAUGCAAGUCGAACGGAGUGGCGCACGGGUGCGUAAUAUAGAGCUAAUCUUCCGCUCGCUGGAGGACAAAAGUUAGAAAUGCCUGCUAAUACUCCAUAGCAAGGGAUGUGACUAUCUCGUAUCAGCUAGUCGGUGGGGUAACGGCCUACCGAGGCAAUGACGCGCAACUGUGCUGAUAGGAUGAUCAGUCACAUUGGAACUGAGACACGGUCCAAACUCCUUCGGGAGUGAGCAAUAGGGAAUCUUGCGCACGGGGCGUAAUCCUGACGCAGCAACGCCGCGUGGAGGAUGACACUUUUCGAAGCGUAAACUCCUUUUGUACUGGAAGCGGUACCUAACGAAUAAGCACCGGCUAACUACGUGCCAGCAGCCGCGGUAAUAC
rnacentral:rRNA from 1 species